rnacentral:tRNA from 1 species
AGGGCUAUAGCGCAGUUGGUAGAGUAGCUCGUUUACACCGAAAAGGUCAUCGGUUCGAGUCCGUAUAGCCCUA